rnacentral:rRNA from 1 species
UAGGGAAUCCUCCACAAUGGGCGCAAGCCUGAUGGAGCAACACCGCGUAAGUGAAGAAGGGUUUCGGCUCGUAAAGCUCUGUUGUUAAAGAAGAACACGUAUGAGAGUAACUGUUCAUACGUUGACGGUAUUUAACCAGAAAGUCACGGCUAACUACGUGCCAG